UAUGGCCACAUCACAUUGAAACACCAGUUCCCGUACAAUCAUUGAAGUUAAGCAACAUCAAUCCUUGUCAGUACUUAUAUGGGUGACCACUUAGGUAUACCAGGUGCUGUAAG